AUCCAACUGACGAGUCUCAAAUAGGAUGAAACGCUCAUCCUGGAU
rnacentral:hammerhead_ribozyme from 1 species